CGGGAUUAGAUACCCCGGUAGUCCACGCCCUAAACGAUGAUCACUAGCUUUUCGGAGUAUCGACCCUCUGAGAGGCGAAGCUAACGCGUUAAGUGAUCCGCCUGGGAAGUACGGCCGCAAGGCUAAAACUCAAAAGAAUAGACGGGGACUCGCACAAGCAGUGGAUCAUGCGGUUUAAUUCGACGAUAAACGAAGAACCUUACCAGGGUUUGAAACCCAAAUGAAAGCCCAGCGAAAGUUGGGAACUCUCACAAGGACAUUUGGGCAGGUGAUGCAUGGCUGUCGUCAGUUCGUGGUUUGAAUUGUUCCCUUAAGUGGGGUAACGAACGCAACCCUUGUCGUCUGUUAUAUUUGUCAGACGAGACUGUCCUGUUUAACAGGAAGGAAGCGAGGGUUCGGAUUGAGGUCUGCAACUCGACCUCAUGAAGCCGGAAUUGCUAGUAAUCGCAGGUCAGCUAUACUGCGGUGAAUACGUUCUCGAGUCUUGUACUCGGGUCGCCAUGCGAUCGAGUACGCU
rnacentral:ncRNA from 1 species